rnacentral:lncRNA from 1 species
AUUUUUUAUAUUGGAACUUCUAAAUCGAUGGUCUGUUUUGUUAGAUUUGGUCUAACAUAUUAAAAGCAUUUAAAAAAUAAAUUUUAUGAUAUUUCGAUAUCAUUACCUAAAGAUGAAAAAAAUUCAAAAUUAAUUUUCUAUAUUUAUAAAUAUAUUAUUAUUAUAUAUAUCGAGAGAGUGAGAGCUAGACUCCUGUAUCAUCUACAAUAUAUAUAGAGAGAGAGAGAGCUAGGCUCCUAUAACUAUAGUUUCGUUUUCAACAUUCGAAUAUUCAAAUCAACGAUUCACACUAUUAAAACUGAUUUAAAUAUUUGAAACUUUUAGAAAUAAAAUUUUAUAUUUUUUCGACAUAAUUUAUUUUAUGAUCAAACCAUUUUAAAAUUAUCAAUUUUCAAUGGUUAUUAUGGCAAGUUUUAUAGUAAGAGUAUAGAAGAAUCUAAACUUAUAUAUAUAGAAAAUAGAGUGUUGGAUCUUGCCCAAUAGGUAAGGUUAUAGUCCGAAUUGCUAGCCAGCAUAUUUUUAGAAUGCUAGACUGAGUUGGAGCCGUUUGGUGCAAAAUAAAUGCGAAAACGGUUUCGGAAACCAAAUAUUAGUUCAAACUGUGUUUUUGUUGCACUUCCGGAUACCCAGAUGUGGUUUGGGGCGCUCGGAUGUUGUGAGCUGAGAAUUUGGAAGUUUCGAACCCUCUGUUGGGAUGCGCGGAUUGUGCACUGUAAUAGUUUAGAAGUUAGGCAGGGUUGAUUUGACGUGUCUCACGAUAUACGUGUAUGCAAGGUGGCUCAGCAGGAUUUUGGGCGCAGGUUCUGGGUG